CAACAUGUAACAUUUUUAUCUUAUCAUUCUUUACCCGUUGUACGGAAUUUUCUUUGGGAGUAGCAGUACUUGCGUAUGCUAUAUUACCUAUUGCACAAAUUGAUAUGCUGCUGCCCUGUUGAUGUAGAUUGAAUCUACAAACACACGACAACAAUAAUCAAACGGAUUGAAUUCAGAAACAAACUUUUAUUAUUUCGUGAAUAACCAAGAAAACUCUAGGAGGCGUCUUGCAGCGUCUUAAAUAUGAAAGAAAAGAUAACCUACUGGGCCAGCAGUCCCAAAAUGGGUUGGGCUACAAAAUGGAAAUAACAAAUGCUGAAAAUAAAUAACACGAAAACUUAAAAUGCUGUUUUGACACACUAAACGACUUCAAAUACCCAAAAACCAUCGUACGUCACGGCGAAGUGGUGUGCUCAAUCUGAAACGCUCGCUACCUUUCCGAAAUGGUGUUAUGGGCCCAAAACGGACACCAAACGCAAAAGUUACAUCAAUUUCUUUGAAAGCCGACCAUCCAACCGUUCCAUGUAUGCCAAUGCCUGUUCCUCCACAUAAACCUCAUCAUUCUCCCUGGGAUCAAUGGGAUUCGCCCUCGAAUCAGAACCAGUAGCACUAUCUCCCACAUUGUCUCCAUGGUAUGGUAAAAGAUGCUUUACAUUAAACACAUCAGAAGUCCGUAUAUGGGAAGCAAGUCGAAGACGAUAGGCGUUGGGGUUGAUCUUCUCCACAAUUUCCACUGGACCAAUGGUACGAGGUGAUAACUUCGAAUGCUCAUGAGAUGGCACUCGAUCCUUAGUCAGUACCGCCCAAACAUAAUCCCCAACGUCAAACUCAACAGGACGUCGAUGCCGAUCAGCCGCCUCUUUAUACUUACGGUUGGAUUCUAGCAAAUUAGCUCGUGUUUCCUCGUGAACUUGUUGCAAACUACGAACAAAGUCAACAACUGUCCCAUGCAGCCGAGUCUUAGAGGGCAGAGUCAAUAAAUCAACAGGGCCGCGGGGCAGAAUACUAUACACAACCUGGAACGGACUGAAACUGGUGCUUCUAUUUCUAGCAUGAUUAUACGCAAACUCUGCCUAGCUAAACCGCUGAUCCCAUGAGCGUAGAUUAUCCCCAACCAAGCACCGCAACAAGUCACCCAAAGAACGAUUAACUACCUCUGUUUGCCCAUCAGUUUGAGGGGGAUAAGCACUACUAAAAUUGAGCGACGUGUUAACUGACUUCCAUAAACUCCGCCAAAAGUGAUCGAUGAACCUCGUGUCUCUGUCAGACACGAUGGAAGUGGGCAACCCAUGCAACCGAUAAAUCUCUCUGAAAAAUAGCUGAGAAACCUUGACAGCAUCAGUGGUGCGCUUGCAGGGAAUGAAGUGCACCAUUUUAAAAAAACGAUCUACUUCCACAAAGAUGGAAUCAUUGUGCGCGGUAAAACCAGGACAAAAUCCAUGCUAAUAUCAAUCCACGGAGCUGAAGGCACUGGUAAGGGUCGAUAAAGACCAGCGUUUGUGGCUUUCCCCUUUGCCACGUGGCACACCCUGCAUCGUGAGACAAACUUCUCCACUUCACAACGCAUAGUAGGCCAGAAAAAUAAAGCGCUAAUCAAAACCAGAGUACGAUCGCGCCCAACAUGACCUUCACCAUGAAACUCCUCAAUCAAUUUCAGACGAAAGCUCCAAUUUGGUAUACACAACUGAACACCUCUAAACACAUACCCAUCCUCUAACAGAAAAGAGGAAUGGGGUCCUUGCAGUAAAUUGUGAUAGAUGGGGCCAAAAUAAGGGUCAUCAGAAUAAAGAGAGACAAAGGUCUCAAACCCGGUGAUCGCUAUCUGUAGCCACGCUAAUAACCCAUGCCGCCGACUGAGGGCAUCUGCCACACGAUUAGAAGAACCAGCCUGAUGUUUAAUGACAAAGUUGAACUGCUGCAAAAAGGCAACCCAUGAUGCAUGACGGGCAGAUACAGACUCCUGGCUUGACAAAUGUUUGAGGGCUUCAUGAUCACUGUAUAAGACAAAUUCUCGCUGAAACAGAUAAUGUCGCCAAUGGCGAAUGGCCUGAACAACAGCAUAAAGCUCUGCAUCGUAAGUGCUAUACCUCCCACGAGCCCUGCCAACUUCUGACUGAAAUAAGCUACUGGUUUCCUUCCUAACUGAGGACAGCUCCGAUACCCAAUUUAGAGGCAUCACAAUGUAAUGCAAAAGGUUUUGUGAAAUCAGGCAACGCAAGUAUCGGGGCUGAAGUCAGGCGCUCCUUAAUGAUCAAAAACGCUUUCUCAGCCUCGGGUGUCCACUGAAACUUACUCUCCUUCAUGCAAUCAGUAAUGGGAGACAUGAUGGUGCUAAAGUGCUGAAUAAAUCGUCGAUAAAACGACGCUAAACCGUGGAAACUCCGCACAUCAGAAACUGACUGUGGACGCGGCCACUGCCGAAUCGCAUCAACCUUAGCUGCAUCCACCAUUACCCCACCGGUUGACACAACAUACCCCAAAAAUAAAACACUAUCGGUAUAGAACACGCACUUCUUAGUGGCUGCAAAGGACUUCUCCUUGCGUAAAACAGUAAGGACUUUCCCUUAGAUGCACACCAUGAGACUCUUCCGACCCACUGUACACCAAUAUGUCAUCGAAGUAUACAACAACGUACUUACCAAUAAACGGUCGAAGUGCUUGGUUCAUCACCUGCAUGAACGUGCUCGGUGCAUUGGAUAGUCCAAACGGCAUAACUAGCCACUCAAAUAAUCCCUCCCGUGUCUUAAAUGCUGCUUUCCACUCAUCACCAGGGCGGACUCUUAUCUGAUGGUAACCACUUUUCAAGUCCAGUUUGGUAAACACAGUUGCGCCGGCCAACUGAUCAAGCAAGUCAUCUAGCCUCGGUAUCGGAAAGCGAUAACGAACUGUUAUUUUGUUGAUGGCCCUGCUAUCUAUACACAUCCGAUAACUCCAUCUUUUUUUGGCACUAGGAGUGCGGGGACUGCACACGAGCUGAAGCUCUCUCUGAUGUACCCCUUCUGCACCAACUCCUCUACUUGUCUUCUCAACUCCUCAUGUUCCACUGGGCUCAUUCGAUAAUGUGGACGAUUAGGCAAUGACGCGCCUGGUACCAAAUCAAUGUGAUGUUGCAUAUCCCGCAAAGGCGGAAGACCCUGUGGAAGGUCAUCCGGAAACACAUCAUGAAACUCAGACACCAAGGCGGUAGCUUUGGGGUGAAGACCCGUCCCCUCGGCUGCCAUAGGAACUGUCGACACUCCUGUCGCCUCAAUUCCUACUAACAACAGUGCAACACCUUCUGCCAGCAUCUCACGCACAAACAAAAUUGGGAAAGUAGAUUACUACUGUCCCCUGCCGAAGACAGACACUGCGUAUCUUUGGGGGGUAGUAGUACAAUCUUUUUACCCGAAAAGGUGAAUGUAUAUGCAUUUCGACGCCCUUCAUGGCACACAUCCCUAUCAAACUGCCAUUGACGACCCAACAACAAAUGACACGCAUCCAUCAGCACCACAUCACACCAAACACUAUCACGAUACACACUGCCAAUAGAAAAAGAUACCAACACACGGCUAGUAACACGAAUCUCAUUACCUCGUCUCAACCAUGCUAGGCUAUAGGGAGCAAGAUGAGGUUCGGUGCUUAACUACAGCUUCUGCACGGCCGCUUCAGAUAUCACAUUUUCGCAACUGUCCGAAUCAAUGAUGAACCUACACACCUUUCCUCCAAUGGUACAUGUAGAUAGAAAGAUAUUGUUUCGCUCCAGGUCCUCAGACGACCCCUUAGGCGUAAGACACGCUCGUCGAACCACCAAAAGAGGCCCCGUGUCACCUGUAUGCACAAUUUCAGCCUCUUCUUCUUCAUUCUCCACAUGAACAGGAUCGUUCACAUCGGCUUGUGUUGUCCCUCCAAUGAACAAACCUGGGCGUGGCUGCCCAUGAGAUGGACAAUCCUUCCUCAAAUGACCAAAACCACCACAACCAAAACACUGACUUCCACGCCCUCGUCCACCAGGAGAAGCCCAGCCACCCGGAUUAGCGGUUGGAGGAACCACUGGCCGAGUGUUCCGAUCAAUGCCCCGACCCCCAGAUGUAAAGGAUUGGGACGGACCAGAUGUGAGAUUUGGGGCGAAUUGUCGACCCCCACUUCCAGAUGGACCACCAGAUAUGCCUACUACAGAACGACGUUGUUGUUGAUUUUCAGCCUAAAGUGCUCGCUGGUGAGCCUCAGAAACAAAUACCGGCGAGAACAUAUUUAGGAUGUCUUGCAAAUUCAAUCGUAGUCCACCAAUAUAGCGCGCUACCAACUGGUCUUCUGAUUCUCCCACAUCAUUUCGCGCUAUCAGUUGGUAAAACUCUGUGGAAUAAGCAUCUACAGAUCGAUUGCCUUGUCUCAAAUUCUGUAAGCGCUGAUACAAAGUCUGGAAUAAUUAAAGGGAAGAAACGCUGCCUUCAACUGUUUCUUCAUUUUUUCCCACGACUGGAUUUUUGCCUUACCCUGACGGAUCCGAUUUUACUUCAGUUGCUGCCACCCCGCAACAGCACGACCACGCAGACAGGUCACCACCAAAGGUACCCUUUUAUUGUCGGGCACUUUUUUGUAAUCCAAGAUCUCCUCUACUGUCGCCACCCAAUCGAGGAAUUCAUCUGCCUCAAUUCCACCGUGAAAUUCAGGUAUAUCAACCUUGAAUCCGGAUUCCCAUCGCUGAAACGCGUCCUGCUGUUGCACACGAGGCUGUUGAACACGAUCGCCACGUGCCUCUGACAAGGUCUCCUCAUCCGACCUCUCUCCUGAUUCAGAUCCACCUCCACCAUCACUCACUGGGGCACGACGUGGAGGAGCAAGAGGUGUUCCGUUCUGCACAACCUCUGCCGCCCACGUCAUGAAUUGAUCAAAUCGGAUUGUCAGCGCCUCAACUUGAUUACGCAGAUCUGCAACUUCAUCAAUCUGGCCACCACGGCCACCACGACCACCACGUCCUCUCCCACGCACCAUGCUCUGAUACCAAAAUGAUGUAGAUUGAAUCUACAAACACACGACAACAAUAACCAAACGGAUUGAAUUCAGAAAUAAAAUUUUAUUAUUUCGUGAACAACUAAGAAAAUCCUAGGAGGCGUCUUGCAACGUCUUAAAUAUGAAAGAAAAGAUAACCUACUGGGCCAGCAGUCUCAAAAUGGGCUGGGCUACAAAAUGGAGAUAACAAAUGCUGAAAAUAAAUAACACAAAAACUUAAAAUACUGUUUUGACACACUAAACGACUUCAAAUGCCCAAAAACCCUCGUACGUCGCGGCGAAGCGGUGUGCUCAAUCCGAAACGCUCACUACCUUUCCGAAAUGGUGUUAUGGGCCCAAAACGGACACCAAACGCAAAAGUUACAUCAAUUUCUUUGAAAGCCGACCAUCCAACCAUUCCAUGUAUGCCAAUGCAUGUUCCUCCACAUAAACCUCAUCACCUCUCCCCUAAACAACUUAGAAGUCUUAAGGCCAAUGCACUAUAACUACGACACUGCUCAACAACAUAAAGAUUAGCAAGUGAGCAGUAUUCUUGAUCUAAAAAUUAGCUAGAAAGAA
rnacentral:lncRNA from 1 species